AUGACUUAAGUCUUUGUCUUUAGGAACGCACAAUAAUUAUCUUAUGUCUUAUGUCUCAAGCAGUUUCAAGGGGCCAGUGAGGUGUUUAUCGUUACGAAGAAUAUUACGUAUUUAAACAUAAAAGUUUGCUGUAAAUCCUGGCACGUUGUGCAAUUGACAAAGCUCGUCCCAGCACCUCGCCAGCAGCAAUUCGACGGGAUUGACGAAGGAAUUUUCGAGGCCGACGCCGCCCGUCAUCAGGAACAUCAUCAAGAGCUGACUCUGCUUGUUCAGCAAGUUCAUAGUGGUUCACAGAUAGCAGGAGCGAGAAAAGCAGCUUGUAGUUCUCGAAAAGCGAGCAGCAUAUAUUGAUUUUUUUAUAGGAAAUUGUAAAAAAUUUUAAGUAUUAAAUGAAGAAAGAUAAAAUAUUUUGGUCAAUUAUUUUAUAUUGGAUACUUUUAUAUAAAUUAUUAAAACGUAAAAAAAACAAAUAAGAUGGUAUAAUAGAAGAUGGCGUGUGAGACCUGUAAAUCAAAUAAGACAUUUAUAUGGCGAUUAUGAAAUACUUUUUCAACACUUAAAAAA
rnacentral:lncRNA from 13 species